UAGAGACAGGUGCUGCAUGGCUGUCGUCAGGUCGUGUCGUGAGAUGUUGGGUUAAGUCCCGCAACGAGCGCAACCCUCGCCCUUAGUUGCCAGCAUUCAGUUGGGCACUCUAAGGGGACUGCCGGUGAUAAGCCGAGAGGAAGGUGGGGAUGACGUCAAGUCCUCAUGGCCCUUACGGGCUGGGCUACACACGUGCUACAAUGGUGGUGACAGUGGGCAGCGAAGGGGCGACCCCGAGCUAAUCUCCAAAAGCCAUCUCAGUUCGGAUUGCACUCUGCAACUCGAGUGCAUGAAGUUGGAAUCGCUAGUAAUCGCGGAUCAGAGCGCCGCGGUGAAUACGUUCCCGGGCCUUGUACACACCGCCCGUCACACCAUGGGAGUUGGUUUUACCCGAAGGCGCUGCGCUAACCACAAGGGGGCAGGCGACCACGGUA
rnacentral:rRNA from 1 species